CAGAGUUUACAAACUCCCAAACCAUCGCUGAACAUUACCACAUAGUUGCUUCGGCGGAUCAGCCCGCUCCCGGUCACACCGGGACGGCCCGCCAGAGUGACCCUAUACAACUCUGUAUUAUACCAUGUAACAUCUGAGUAACUAUACUUAAUAAGUAA
rnacentral:misc_RNA from 1 species